CACUUGAAGUGCUUGGCCUUUUGAUGCUGCACUAGAAUCUUCUCGUCAUCGAAUUCCCUAUCGCAGUAAUAGCACCACACCUUUGACGAUACUCUCUUCUUCUUCCUUCCCAUUUUUUUUCCCUUCUAUUCUCUUACUCUCUCCCUCCCGCGAGCUCAAAAUCUCUCCUCGUCUUCUUCUUAUUGUUGGAUGGCUCUGAACUAUUCAAUUGUCGGAUUAGGG
rnacentral:misc_RNA from 1 species